ACCAGACUCCUACGGGAGGCAGCAGUGGGGAAUAUUGGACAAUGGGGGGAACCCUGAUCCAGCGACGCCGCGUGAGUGAAGAAGUAUUUCGGUAUGUAAAGCUCUCUCAGCAGGGAAGAAAGAAAUGACGGUACCUGACUAAGAGGCCCCGGCUAACUACGUGCCAGCAGCCGCGGUAAUACGUAGGGGGCAAGCGUUAUCCGGAUUUACUGGGUGUAAAGGGGGCGCAGACGGCAGCGCAAGCCAGGAGUGAAAGCCCGGGGCCCAACCCCGGGACUGCUCUUGGAACUGCGCGGCUGGAGUGCAGGAGGGGCAGGCGGAAUUCCUGGUGUAGCGGUGAAAUGCGUAGAUAUCAGGAGGAACACCGGUGGCGAAGGCGGCCUGCUGGACUGCGACUGACGUUGAGGCCCGAAAGCGUGGGGAGCAAACAGGAUUAGAUACCCCAGUA
rnacentral:rRNA from 1 species